rnacentral:rRNA from 1 species
UACGUAGGGGGCAAGCGUUGUCCGGAAUCAUUGGGCGUAAAGCGCGCGUAGGCGGCCCGGUAAGUCCGCUGUAAAAGUCCAGGGCUCAACCCUGGAAAGCCGGUGGAUACUGUCGGGCUAGAGUCCGGAAGAGGCGAGUGGAAUUCCUGGUGUAGCGGUGAAAUGCGUAGAUAUCGGGAGGAACACCUGUGGCGAAAGCGGCUCACUGGACCAUAACUGACGCUGAUGCACGAAAGCUGGGGGAGCAAACAGG